UACGUAGGGGGCUAGCGUUGUCCGGAAUCAUUGGGCGUAAAGCGCGCGUAGGCGGCCCGGUAAGUCCGCUGUAAAAGUCAAAGGCUCAACCUUUGAAUGUCAGUGGAUACUGCCGGGCUAGAGUCCGGAAGAGGCGAGUGGAACUCCUGGUGUAGCGGUGGAAUGCGCAGAUAUCAGGAAGAACACCGACGGCGAAGGCAGCUCGCUGGACGGUACUGACGCUGAGGCGCGAAGCGUGGAGCGAACAGG
rnacentral:rRNA from 1 species